GACGAACCGUGCGAACGUUGUUCGGAAUCACUGGGCUUAAAGGGCGCGUAGGCGGCCCCCCAAGUCAAGGGUGAAAUCUUUCGGCUUAACCGGAAAGUGCCUUUGAUACUGGGGGGCUCGAGGGAGGUAGGGGCGGACGGAACUUCCGGUGGAGCGGUGAAAUGCGUUGAUAUCGGAAGGAACGCCGGUGGCGAAAGCGGUCCGCUG
rnacentral:rRNA from 1 species